CCGGUCUAGCUCAAUUGGUAGAGCAACUGACUUGUAAUCAGUAGGUUGGGGGUUCAAGUCCUCUGGCCGGCA
rnacentral:tRNA from 1 species